rnacentral:lncRNA from 1 species
ACUUUCCGGCCAGUCACCACCAAACCCCACUGGCCAUCCCUCUCUUCUCACUAACCACCUCUAUUCUCCUCACUACUACGAGAGAAUCACUGUCCAAAACCCCAUUUUUCGAGCUCCACCAGUUCACUGCCGGAGAACCACCAAACCACAACACCCAGCCAACCAGAAGCACCAUUUCUGGCAGAGCUCGAGGCUCAGGCGGAGCAAAUAACAAGGAAAUCGAACCAUUCCCCUCCCCUUUCCCUUUUACGAUAUUUAUUGUUGUUUNNNNN